rnacentral:tRNA from 1 species
GUAUAAAUAAAUAAAUAAAUAAAUUACUAGAUUUGGAACCCAGAAGACCUGAGUUCAAAUCCUAGUUAUAUG